UGAACGCUGGCGGUAUGCUUUACACAUGCAAGUCGAACGGGCUUGGGGGCUUGCUCCCAGGUUAGUGGCGAACGGGUGAGUAAUAUAUCGGAACAUAUCCGGAAGUGGGGGAUAACGUAGCGAAAGUUACGCUAAUACCGCAUAUGCCCUGAGGGGGAAAGGGGGGGAUCGCAAGACCUCUCGCUUUCGGAGUGGCCGAUACCGGAUUAGCUAGAUGGUGAGGUAAAGGCUCACCAUGGCGACGAUCCGUAGCGGGUCUGAGAGGACGACCCGCCACACUGGAACUGAGACACGGUCCAGACUCCUACGGGAGGCAGCAGUGGGGAAUUUUGGACAAUGGGCGCAAGCCUGAUCCAGCCAUACCGCGUGAGUGAAGAAGGCCUUCGGGUUGUAAAGCUCUUUCAGCCGGAAAGAAAUUGCUUCUAUUAAUACUAGGAGUAGAUGACGGUACCGGAAGAAGAAGCACCGGCUAACUACGUGCCAGCAGCCGCGGUAAUACGUAGGGUGCGAGCGUUAAUCGGAAUUACUGGGCGUAAAGCGUGCGCAGGCGGUUUGGUAAGACAGAUGUGAAAUCCCCGGGCUUAACCUGGGAACUGCAUUUGUGACUGCCAGACUAGAGUGUAGCAGAGGGGGGUAGAAUUCCACGUGUAGCAGUGAAAUGCGUAGAGAUGUGGAAGAAUACCGAUGGCGAAGGCAGCCCCCUGGGCUAACACUGACGCUCAUGCACGAAAGCGUGGGGAGCAAACAGGAUUAGAUACCCUGGUAGUCCACGCCCUAAACGAUGUCAACUAGGUGUUGGGGAAGGAGACUUCUUUAGUACCGCAGCUAACGCGUGAAGUGACCCGC
rnacentral:rRNA from 1 species